GUGUCAGCAGCCGCGGUAACACCGGCGGCCCGAGUGGUGACCACUUUUAUUGGGCCUAAAGCGUCCGUAGCCGGUCCAGUAAGUCCCUGUUUAAAUCCUACGGCUUAACCGUAGGGCUGGCAGGGAUACUGCUGGACUUGGGACCGGGAGAGGGCGAGGGUACUUCAGGGGUAGCGGUGAAAUGUGUUGAUCCCUGGAGGACCACCUAUGGCGAAGGCACUCGCCUGGAACGGGUCCGACGGUGAGGGACGAAAGCCAGGGGCGCGAACCGGAUUAGAUACCCGGGUAGUCCUGGCCGUAAACUCUGCGGACUAGGUGUUAGGUAGGCCCCGUGCCUAUCUAGUGCCGAAGGGAAGCCGUUAAGUCCGCCGCCUGGGGAGUACGGUCGCAAGACUGAA
rnacentral:rRNA from 1 species